UACAGAGGGGGCUAGCGUUGUUCGGAAUUACUGGGCGUAAAGGGUGCGUAGGCGGUUGUUUAAGUUUGGUGUGAAAUCUCCCGGCUCAACUGGGAGGGUGCGCCGAAUACUGAAUGACUAGAGUGCGGGAGAGGAGAGUGGAAUUCCUGGUGUAGCGGUGAAAUGCGUAGAUAUCAGGAGGAACACCGGUGGUGUAGACGGCUCUCUGGACCGUAACUGACGCUGAGGCACGAAAGCGUGGGUAGCAAACAGG
rnacentral:rRNA from 1 species